CCCGCCUGGAGCGAUUGUGUCUUCGGUCUUCUGUCAUCUCCUAAGCCCCGCAAGGGCCUUUUGGAAAAAUAUUCAAGUGUAAAAUACUCGUGUGUAUAUGAGCCGGCCAAAGGCUGGCUUUGAACUGACAAUCCUCAGCCUCAGGAACAGUAGAAUCACAGGGGAGAAAAUUAGAGAAGUAGACACACUGAAGCAAGAAGACUGCAUGGAAUUGUGUAGCAGAAUCAAGACCCCAAAAAGAUGCCUGGAUUCCAGAUUCUAUGGAUUUGCUACCCUUCAUGGCAAAGAGACCAGUAAGAUGGUCAAGAUGAAGGCAGGGGGAUGUGGAAAUCGUUUUGUAUUAGCUAAGUGGACACAAUCUCAUCCUUUGGGGCUAAUCAUGAGUCAAGAACCAUCUCCAGCCUUAUGUGUGUGGGGGUGGGGGACAGAGGGCGGGGCUACAACAUCACCAGUGGAAGGAGGGAAGGGAGGUUUGAACUGACCAUAUUUACUGAAGAUGGAAGAAAAAGCUGUGUCUAAGUUUCAAUCUAAGACUGGGUCCUUUUUCUCCUUGGAAUUAUGGAACCAGUAACAAGACCCAGCCCCAACUAAGUAGCAAAGGACACUCUUUACUCUUGGCCAAGAGUAAGGGAAAGGGUCUAGGGAGAUGCUCAGUGGAUAGCAGGGCUUGCGUGCAAGCAUGAAGUAAGUUCAAAUCCCCGGCACAGCAGAAAAAACCAGGCAUGACUGUUGGUACUUGUAACCCCAGCAGUGGGGGUGAGGAUAGGCAGAUCACAAUAGCUCUCUGGCAAGCUGAAAUGAGAAGGUCCUGCCUGAGGAAGAGACACUGCCCAAAAGAACAAAGAGAGUGAUAAAGAUGCUGGACGUCUUGCUCUGGCUUCUGAAUGCACAUGCACCUGCACACUCAUCUACAUGCACCACACACAACAGAAUAAGAAAAGUGGGCUGUGUGUGGCUGUGCACACCUGUAAUCCCAGCACUUGGGAGGUGGCGGCAGGAGAAUCAGGAAUUCAGGGGCAUCUGUGUUAGCUAUGACCAUGCCAUCGUGCAAAGCACCUCCAAUUUGACGAAAGAAUGACAACUGAAGAAAUUUGGUUCUCUGAAGUAAAGGAACUUGUUUCUCUAUUAUCGAUUUCCCCACCCUGCAGACCUCCAUGAAUGGCCACCACAAAAGAUGUUUAUCUGUCACCUGAUAUUCUUCAACUGCCACUCACUGCCUACCACUAGCAACUGCAGACCAAAAUAGGAAAUGUUUCUAUCUCCUUCUGUCUUUUAAAACCUGUAAGAAGGGCUGGAGAGAUGGCUCAGGGGUUCAAUUCCCAGCACCCACAUGGCAGCUCACAACUGUCUAUAACUCCAGUUCUAGAUGAUCCUACACCCUCACGUAUAAAAUAAAUAAAUCAUUUUAAAAAAAAACUGUAAGAAGGGACGGACUGGGACACACACACACACACACACACACACACACACACACACACACACCUUGCCCAAACUCUCCUCAGAGUCCCACCAUGCUGCCGUCUGCCUGUCUAUGGAGAACAGAAGUGGGAAGCAGGCUGAUAAGUGAACUUCCUAAGCCCCACAAAUGGGCGGGUUGCAAUAACUCUGGGGUGGGAUAGGCUAACAGUGGGAAUGAACAUUUGUAUCUUAUCUUUUCUGAGGAUGGGCUGAGAUAUUUUUCUGGGACUCAUCACACGUCUGUAGUUUUCUCAAGUCACUGUAAUGACAGUUGUCAACCUUCAUGACACUGGAGGGGAUGUCAUUUAGCAUACCGAUGGAAAUACGAUAACAUCAGAGGUGAUCUGAUGUCACUCUGGCAACUGGCCCAACUGGUCUCUGUCAACCACCAGAGGAGAGACUUCAGGUCUUCCUACAUCAUGUCAUCAAAUGUAGGCAAGUCUAGGGUGAGGUACGAAUUUGGCCAGUGAAGAUUAGGGCAGGGUAAGAACCGUAGGGUUUGAAUGAGAUGUACCCCAGUGGGCUCAUAUAUUUGAAUACUUGUUUCCUAGCUGGUGCUGCUGUUUCUGAAGGUCACGGAACUUUUAGGAGGUGGAGCCUUGAUGGAGGAAGUAUAUCACUGGGGAAGGGUUUGGAGGUGUAGUUGUUUGUUUUUUACUCAUUUUGGGGGGGGGGGGCACCACCCAGUUCCCAAAUAAAUUCUCACACAGAGGCUUAUUCUUAAUUAUGAAUGCCUGGCCUUAGCUUGGCUUAGUUUCUAGGCAACUUUUCUCAAAUUAUCCCAUCUACAUUUUGCCUCUGGGCUUUUCCUGUUCUCUUACUUCCGUAAAUCUAAUUCUUACUCUGUGGCUUACUGUGUAGCUGGGUGUCUGGCCUCUGGAGUCCUUCUUCCUCUCUUGUUCCUAGCUCCCCUUCUCCCAGUUUUCUCCAUAUGUGUGUGUGUGUGUGUGUGUGUGUGUGUGUGUCUCCCUGCCAGCCCCGCCUAUCCUUUCUCCUGCCUUGCUAUUGGCCGUUCAUCUCUUUAUUAGACCAUCAGGUGUUUUAGACAGGCACAGUAACACAGCUUCACAGAGUUAAACAAAUGCAACACAAACAAAAGUAGCACACCUUAAAAUAAUAUUCUACUACAGGAGGUUGUAUAGCCUUCCCCAUUUCCUGUUUUCUCUCUGUGUUUCCUGUAUGCUGAUAAAAUGUGAUCACUCAGCUUCCUGACUUCAUGACCCUGCUGCUGUUCCUUCCCCACCAUGAUGGGUGGGACCCAUAAGCCCCUCCUUUCUCCCCACCCUCUCCCCCUCACCAAUUCUCCCCUAAGUUCCUUUUAGUCAGAGUCUUCUAUCACAGCAACAAAAAAGUAACCAAUACAAGCUGCAAGCCUGGGAGAGCACAGGCAAUGUCCCUCAAAGCUGGAAAACACAAGGAAAUGGAGACUCACAGAAUCCCCUACGUGCCCCACAACCAGCUUUGGUUCUGUGAAACUUUUAUUGGACUCCUAACCUACAGAACUGUAUUUAACUGACUGUAAGAAGAUUAAUUUGUAUUAUUUGGGGUAGGAUAUUUAGGACCACGGGCAGGGCCCUGGGUUCAAUUGAGCCCCACACUGAAAAAAAAAAAGAAAGAAAAGCUAUAUUGUUUCAAGUCAUAGCAUUGGUAGUUGUGCUAGUUGGCUUUCUGCUACUGUGAUGAAAAACCAAAAACAGGACCAAGGCAACUUAUGGAAGAAAGAGUUUAUUCUGGUCAUGAUUCAAGGGGGCUGAGAGUCCAAUACGGUGGGCAGGAAUGGCUAAGGAGGAAGAAACUGAGAGAUCAUAUCCUCAACUACAAGCAAGAGACAGACAGAGAACAGGAAGUAGAAUGAGGCUACAUACACUCAAGCCCGCCCCUAGUGACCCACUUCUUCCAGCAAGACCUCACUUCCUAAACAGUGUGCCAACUGGGAACGGAGGCCUAGAGGGGACAUUUCUCAUUCAAACUGUUGGUUUUAAAUGCGGCACUUUUACUCUGCGAGGAAAAGUCAUGAGGCACGACAAAACCCGUUGUCAGAGCAGAGUUUUAUUAGAAGGGAGAGGGGAGGGAGAGGAGAGUACGUGGCUAAGGCCUGUUGGAAAGACAGGAGAGGAGGAGGGAGAGAUGGGGGAGGAGGAGAGAGCAGAAGAGAGGGGAGGAGUCUGUGACCGGCUUUUUAAGGAUUCCCCUGCACAUGCGCAUGUGGGCUUACGGAGCUGCACCACACAUGUGCACAGAUUACACAGGACAUAAAACCCCUUGCUUGGCCACUGAACUGCGCAUGUACUGUCCAUCAUAUAGCUGGAGGAGUGGCCGGAAUCCUAACACAAACCACCGCAGUAAUUCUGAGCUUGAAGCAGCAAAGGAAGAUGGGUACAAGCAUUUGCUGUAUUUCUACCUUCACAUAUGUUUAAGGUGUUCUGUUUUGUUUGUAAUAACCUAAGAAAUAUGCUUCUUGUUGUUGUUGUUUUUCAAGGCAGGGUGUCUUUGUAGAUGUAGCCUUGGCUGUCCUGGAACAAGCUCUGUAGACCAGGCUGGCCUCAAACUCACAGAGAUCUGCCUGCCUCCUCCUCUUGAGUGCUGGGAUUAAAGGUGUGCAGAAGAAAUACUUUUGUCAAAAUAUUUCAUUUUUACCUAAAGUGUAGGCCCACCUAGCAUAGAGUAUGAUACAUUUAACUUGAAAGGGAAUUUUAUGUCAUGAUACUUUUGUAAAAGAAACCUUAAGUAAUAAAGUAACAUUUAUUUUCAAAGUUGUAAACAUUAAAACACAGAGUGCAUACUCUGUUAAAGAUGGCUUGUCUAGGCCAGUUUCUUUCAAAAAUCUUCAUACUAUACCUUCGAGAAUGCUAACAGGGGCCUGGAGAAGUGGCCUAGUGGUCCACAGCACUUAUUCUUGCAAAUGACCCAGGAUCAAAUCCCAACACCCUCAAAAGCAGCUGGGACUCCAGUUCCAGGGGAUCUAGUGACUUCUUCUGGUUUCUGUGGCCAUAUACAUACAUGCAAGCAAGAUACCCAUAUACAUAAUGAAAAUUAAAAAUUAAUUUUUAAAAAAAGCAUAUGACGGUGAGAAGGUAUAAUCCCCAAAGUCACAUGUAGGAACAGUCGACUCUAGUCAGUGGUUGUGACCCCUCUGGGAGGAGUCGAAUGAUUCUUUCACAAGGGUGGCCUAAAACCAUUGGAAAACACAAAUAUUUACAUUACAAUUCAUAACAGUAGCAAAAUUACACUUAUGAAGUAGCACCAAAAUUAAUUUUAUGGUUGGAGGAUCACCACUACAUGAGGAACUGUAUUAAAAGGUCACAGAAAGGUUUAGAACCAUUACUCAAGUAAAUACAUAGCUGUAAAUAAUAAUAAUGAUAAUAAUCAAUUCUUAAAAUACUGCCAGCAUUUACAAAAAUAUGCUUUCUACCAGCAUAUAUAAAUAUAAAGAAACAGAUUAGACAAGUAAAUAAAAUGUGCAGGAAUUUUUAAAGAGAAUUAUCUCCAUGCUUCAGCUAAAGCUCUCUUGGUAGAGUACUUGUCCAGCAUCCACCCUUGGUUCAACCCCCAGCAGCACAUAAAGCCAGUUGUGUUUGCUGGAAGUCUACAAUCCAACACUUCUGUAAUCCCGAAAGAUGGAGGCAGGAGGGUCAGAAAUUCCAGGCCAUCCUCAGCUACAUAGUAAACUCAAGGCCAGUCUGGGUGCCCCUGUAAAAAUAAUUUUAAAAAGUUUUAAGUCUACCAAACUGUGCAAAGGUAGAAUAGUUUAAAUGGUUCCCAGGGGCUGAGAGAACAGCUCGAUUGUUAAUGGACUAGACAUCGUUAAUGUAAUUCUUGACUGUAUAUGUUGUAUAGCCUUGUUGGAUACAGUUUUUCUUGUAUUAGGUAUAAGCUUUUUUAAAUUUUAGACAAAAAAGGGGGAAAUGUGGUGAUAUUGUGUCCCCCCCAAUAUAUUAUGCACCCUAAUAAACUUAUCUGGGGGUCAGAGAACAGAACAGCCACUAUAUUAAACAUAGGUUUAGACAGUGGUAGACAUGCCUUUAAUCCUAGCAUUCCGGAGGCAGAGAUCCAUCUGGAUCUCUGAGUUCAAAGCCACAAUGAAACAGCCAGGCAUGGUGACACAUGCCUUUAAUCCCAGGAAGUGAUGGCAGGAAGCAGAAAGGUAUAUAAGGCGUGAGGACCAGGAACUAGAGUCCUUUUAAGCUUUGAGGCUUUUAGCAGCGGUUCAGCUGAGAUCCAUUUGGAUGAGGACUCAGAGGCUUCCAGUCUGAGGAAACAAGAUCAGCUGAGAAAUUGGCAAGAUGAAGUUGGAUGUGGCUUGUUCUGUUUCUCUGAUCUUUCAGUGUUCACCCCAA